GCAGAGUCAUUGGAGCGAACUGCCGCUCCAG
rnacentral:sRNA from 1 species